CCUGACAUACUGGCUUCCCGAAGAUUCAAACUGUCAAUCACAACAUUGAAUAAGAAAGGUUAGUGAGUGUCGAAACGAUCAUUAUUUUCUCUUCCUGGUACCUAAGGAUAUUGAAGUCACCUCCAAUAAGCAUUGGGUGCGGGUUAUCCUAGCCAGGUUCACCAAUUCUUGAAGAAAAGGAGAUUUAUUUUCAUCAUGGGCAGCACCGUAGACCGCGACCAAACUCCAUGUGAAAUUAUCAGCUUUUUUUCGGAGAUGGAAUUUGCUAUGAAAUUCACCAGCCGAAAAAGCUAACAAGUCCAUGGUUAUGAUCUCUAUCCCAAGUAAGAAUCCUCCGGACCUUCCACGUGGUGGUAAACUAUGCCAUGUGUAGUCAAAACCACCAGAUAGGUGAUCAAAGACAUGUGCACGAAAGUCACAGUUACCUGCCUCAGAAACUGCCACAAAAUCCAAUCCAUGCUCACGCACACAGUCAUCGAUUUGUUUAUGUUUAGCCAAGUAUAAAAGACCUCUACUAUUCCAAAACAUGCCUCUCAUAUGGAAACUCGGGUUGGGGUGGACACCUUCGCCUUUUUGGAAGGUUUUUUUUUCUUUUUUGAAGAAUGGGAUUUAGAUUUAUGUAAAGACUCAGUGAAGUCACAAAACAUGGACCCAUGUCGUGCGUCAUCAUCUAAUCCAACCUCAGUUACCGCACCAACCAAGUGGAAGAGAAGCGGACCAUCAUAUGGGGCCGCUGGUUCCUCCUCCUUAGUUUCGGUGUACGACAAGAGGCUCAAACAUUCAAGGGAAACCUUUAAUCGGUCAAUCUCCAUGUGUUUUAGUGCCCCACGGAAAUACACACAUCAUUAUCAUUCUUUCCAAUUGUAACUCCAACGUCAUUUAAAUUAGAACAAAUACGAGAAUGGGAAAAAGAAAGAAAUGACUUUCUGCAAAGUGUACCUAUUGAUGAGUCAAAUUACGCUCUGCCUGAUGCCGCAUCACCGUCGAGAGAGAGAGAGAGAGUUCUCGUACGUGGCCGAGGACCCAUCAGAGGUGGAGAAGUGACAGUCGUUGCGCCGGAUGGGAGUAGUAUUCGCCCUGGCCUAAGUAGAAUGGAUCGUCGGCAGCGGUGUUGGAGUAGACGGAGGUGAUCUCAACGGUGCAGCAGCCCGAGUCACUAGUGACACAUCAACAACGGGUGCCGAGGAGAUCUCCUUACUACGCUCCAUGGCUGAACUGAGUUGAACCGCGGCAGCCAGAGUACAGAGAGGCGCACUUUGUUGUGGUGACGAAGACGCAGGAGUAUGUUAGGCAUAAGCCACAGCGGACGCGUCGGGAGUGCGUGUGUGCGCAGGCGGGACGCAUCAGACGCGAUGGCGGGUGGGCGUGUGUCCGUGAGCGUGUGAGCACGGGCGUGUUCGUGCGGUGCACUGGGUGUGCGCGAGUCUAG
rnacentral:lncRNA from 1 species